rnacentral:lncRNA from 1 species
AUACUUGUCUCGACACCCAUUAGAUGUGUCGACAAGCUACAGAUGCUGAAGUCACACAGACUGCUACUCACCAGGGACGCUACGAAAUUAAAAUAAUUGUUACGUGCAUUUGUACGUACGCUCAACUAGUAUAUAUAUAAGCACAUAUUUUAAAUUUCGAUGUGUGGACAAACCCAUUUCAAAAUUUCUCUUUUUCGUAUGCAAAAUAAAUAACGUAACGAAACAAACUUGUAGUUCCUCUUUUUUCUCCAACUAUUAAUAUUUUACUUUUUAUUAAAUAUUUUUAUCUUCAAUAUCUUUUCUUUUUAAAAUAAAUAUUUAUAUAUUAUCACUAUUCUAUCUACUAAUAAUUUAUUGUUAUAUUAACUUUUUAAUUUGGAUACUUUUAGUUUAAAAGGGCAAAACUGACAUUUGGUGACUUGCUAAAGGGAACCACUUAAGAGUUGCAGGUUUAUCUCUUAGAAUAAGAUACCUGUCUCCGAGAUCAAUCAUAGGAUUCUUUCCCCGUUCCUCUUCGAUUGAUUUUUCUUCUCCUACAGAUAUCAAAGGAAAGACAAGGGAUUACACAUUAAUUGAGAAGUGGACAUUAAAAAGAUGAAACAUUGAGUAGAGAUAGAAUUAUGUAAACACAUUAAUUGAAAGGUGAGGGUUAGAAAGAUGAAGUAUUGGGUGAAGAUGGGGCUAUAUAAAUACAUUAAUUGAUAGGUGGAGAUUAGAAAGAUAAAGCAUUUGGUGAAGAUGGGAGUGGGAAGAGAAAAGCCAACGGUGAAGGAGGAUUCGCCACGUGGCAAAAAUUUAGGAGAGAUAAUGUAUAUGUAUAGAUAUAGAUGUAUAGAUGUAUAGAUAUAGAUAUAGAUAUAGAUAUAUAUAAACAAGGAUUCAAAAUUAAGUCUAAAAUCUGAAUUGGAAUUCGAAAUUUUAUGUUGG